rnacentral:rRNA from 1 species
CCUACGGGAGGCAGCAGUGGGGAAUCUUGCGCAAUGGGCGAAAGCCUGACGCAGCAACGCCGCGUGCGGGAAGAAGGCUUUCGGGCUGUAAACCGCUUUCAGCAGGAACGAAAAUGACGGUACCUGCAGAAGAAGGAGCGGCCAACUAUGUGCCAGCAGCCGCGGUGAUACAUAGGCUUCAAGCGUUGUCCGGAUUUAUUGGGCGUAAAGAGUUCGUAGGCGGUCAAGUAAGUCGGGUGUGAAAAUUCUGGGCUCAACCCAGAGACGCCACCCGAUACUGCUUAACUUGAGUUCGAUAGGGGAGUGGGGAAUUCCUAGUGUAGCGGUGAAAUGCGCAGAUAUUAGGAGGAACACCGGUGGCGAAGGCGCCACUCUGGAUCGAUACUGACGCUGAGGAACGAAAGCAUGGGUAGCAAACAGGAUUAGAUACCCUGGUAGUCCAUGCCGUAAACGGUGGGCACUAGGUGUGGGUUUCUAUUAACGAAAUCCGCGCCGUCGCUAACGCAUUAAGUGCCCCGCCUGGGGGAGGUACGGUCGCGAGACGUAAACGUACGAAAGGAAGUUAGUAACGGUCGUGAGACGUGCCGACGGACGACGACGAGGGAGGAGG